GCGUCGGUAGUGCAACGGGUUAGAGCAGACGCUCCUGGAUAGGGUGAAAUGCGGGUUUGAGUCCCGCCUGACGCA